GUCUGAGUUUGCAAAAACCAUUAUUACUUCCAUAAAAUUAUGUCUUGUGCUUGUUCUAUAUGAUCGAUCAGCAAAGUAUCAAUGAAAAAGGGACUUUUAGUGCCAAGGUUGCCUAAACUACAUGAAUGUUCACUGCUGCUUUCUGAUUGUGGCAGAUGUUUAUUCAUUUUCAAAGGUAUUUUUAAACAUUCUUCCUGAACUAUGGAAUAUUUUUCAUCAAGAUACUAAACAACAAACAAAAUAUUAAAAAUAUAACCCAAAACAAAUUAAAUCAUAAUGAAAGUGUUUAUUCAUAUCAUUAACAAUAAUACACAUAACAUUCAAAGCAUUCUACCAUAUUGUUUCAUUAGCUGUUGUUAUAAAUUUCCUUUAAUAUUGAAACAUACUUUUUCAACUAAAUUUUCUAAAUACAUUCUCGUCAAAAGCAGACAAAUUCCAAUGUAGGAGAUGAAAAACACAAACUGCUAUGUAUCCCCUAACACUACCCCUACAUGACAUUGAUGAUAGUAAACCUUCUUUGGAAUUUGAAGAUUACUAGGCAAUAACUAAAGGCAUUACUAAAUCAUGGGGGUUUGUAGAACUUUUCUCCCCAGCAAUACAGUAUUAUUUCUAAUUUCGUAUUGGUUUCAUAUGUAUUGAAGAAAUGUUACAGCAGUUUGAAAAAAACUUUAUAAGUUUUAAAAACUUAUUUUCUUUCUUAUUCUCUUAGUUGAUUAUCCUAUUUUCUUCUUGAUAUCUAUUGUCUGAAUGUGAUUGUAUUCAUAUGGAUACUAAUAAAAAUAAAAUAUGUGUUCUAAUACUUUGAAGUUGAACCCUGUAUUUUACUACAAUGGACGUUUAACUUAUAUUAUCUCUCCAGACUUUAAAAGUUGAUAUAUUUUUCAAUAAUAAAAAAAUAAACAGAAUUACGUCAAAUGUUCCUGGGUAAACUUUUAGAAUGAAUUGGAAUAACACAAUCUUUUCUUUUUUGGCUGCUCAAAUUUCACUUGAUUUAACUUUUUAAAAUGCAUUCAAAUAAUAAAUGCAAAAUAAAAAAAAAGACAGAAGACACAGAAAUCUCACUAUAUCCUUACAGAUGACUUAAAUAAAGUAAUUUUGGAAUAUUAGAUGUUGACAACAUCCUCACUAAAAAAGUAAAGCCUAAAAAUGUCUUCAUCACAUUCAUACAGGUAAGGCAAAAAACAAACUUUACAAAUACAUAUGCAUUCAAAUCUAGCAAAUAAAUCAUAAAUAAUGAAAAAAUCGAUUACAUUUACAAUUCAUCUUCUUAAACAAAGACACUUCAUAUUCAUGGAUUUGAUCAUAACAAUUAGUAUUAUAUUACAAUAAGAUGUUCCAGGUAACAAUAAAAGACUAGCUUGACUGCAGAAUGUCAACAAUGGUCAGAUAACACAAUCUAACGUACAAAUGGUAUAUAUAUGUCAUUAUUCUAAGCAAUUAACUAAAAUGCAUAUAUUAAAUAAGGAGAUGUGGUAUAUUUGCAAAUGUGACGACUGUCAAUCAAAUAUACAAUGAUGCAGAUGUUAUGAACUUUAUACCUUCAACAAUAAGCAAA
rnacentral:lncRNA from 1 species